CCUCCAUAUUCUACCCUUGAACAUAAAAACAAGUAACAUCAUGCAAAAUCUCCCAAAUAUUAACCAAAAUGUGCAGGAGGCUUAUUACAGAAAUGCCAAAACCCAUGGAUAUGUCUUAUUGAAAACUCCACAGCUCUGGGCCAAGACAAUGUCUCAUGUGUACACAAGAAAUCAAAUUAGAGCAUAAUUGCUUGUCACUAGGCAACCAUUGACUUUUAGAUGAGUAAUCAAUCCUUGGACACAAAGAGUAAACAUAACAGACAGUUACCACUCAGCCCUUUAGAUAAUGCUUAAAACCAAAGAGUCACUUCUCUCUUCUGUAAACUUAUCUUUUUAUCUGGUAGCUUCAAAAAACCAUGUCAGGUAGAUUUGUGCAGCUUUGUUAAAUCAAUCUCUACUGAUAAUUACAUAGGCGAUACAGGGCUUGCAGAACCGCAGGGGUUGGAAGGGACCUCAGGAAAUCAUUGAGUCCAACCCCAUUGCUAAAGCAGGUUCCCCACAAUAGGCCGCACAGGUAGGCGUCCAGAUGGAUCCUGAAUACCUUCAGGGAAGGAGACUCCACCACCUCUCUGGACAACCUUUUCCACUGCUACAUCACCCUUAAUGUUAGCAAGUUCUUCCACAUAUUCGUAUGGAAAUUCCUAUGUUCAAAUUUUAAGCCAUUACUCCUUGUCCCAUUGCUACACACCACCAAGAACAGCAUGAAUGUUUGUCAAAAAAAAAAAAAAAAAAAAAAGGGGGGGGGGGGGGGGGGGGAGCAUGUGAGACAGAAUUUAAUGUAUUAAGUCUUUUCUGAAGCAGAGAAUUGAGAGGUACUACUGGGUGUUCUUACCAUGUCUGCUGCAACCUCCUAGCCAGAGGAGGCUGUUUAAGCAUUUUCAUAUUGUUACACUUUGGAUCUUUUUAUCUAUGACUUAGGACAGCCUAAACACUUCUCCUAAUAGAAGCUGCUCCAGAAAUUUGUUUUCUCCCUUUUUAACAGCCAUCUUCCAGUGUCUAGCCUGAAGUUAUUUGCAAGCUAUUUACACGCAUUUGUACCAGCAUCAGUCAUCCUUUAGCUUAUCCAGCUCUCUCCCAUUGUGUUCAGCCUCUAGAUUUGUCUAUGAAUAACAACCCCUUUGCCUUUAUUUUGCUAGGCUGAUCAGCCUCUUAGCUUCUUUUUGCACCAGAGGAUUUCCGUCCCCAUAAUGACAAGUGUCUGCACUGGUUCACGUCAGCAUUUAUUCUUCCUGACCCUUCUUCUAGAUUUGUGUUUCAAUAGUGCCUUACCACUAGUAUUUCCUUUCUUCAUGGGAAAUAUCUCUCCUGAUGAUCUGCCAAUUAUAUCUGCUCUUUUUUUUUUUUUCCUCUGCUAAUAGAACAAGUCAUACAAGGUCCCAGUCAAGAAAUCAAAACCAAACAAUCCAUCUACACUUUACACGUCUGUACCAGUGAAAGAAACGUGGGAAACUGAAUACAAGAACUAUCUAUGCCAACUAGCGCAGCUAAGAAUGGAUGGAGUAAUAGAUUGGCUGGGCUGGGAGAACAGAUAUGCUACUGCUCUGUGCCACCCCAGCUACACAUGGAUAAUGGAAGAUACUCAGCUGGAAGUGUCCAGGUAAAGGUGAAGAUAAACAGCUCACCGUUUAUCAGAGAAGUUACCCAUAAAGCUGUCUGGAAGUCUUUCUCCUAGAGCUGGGCAGGCAAGCAAAUCCUACUAUUCAUUUGGGAAGCCGAGAUUAGGGAAGGUGAUGAAACCAGCUAGAGAAGGAGACCUACAGCAACACUUCCAGGAGAACCAGUUGUGUAAAGUUCCACAGCAUCUGAGAACUCCAUAGCACACUAUCACUUAACCGACUGAAGAAAAUACAGGUAAGUAUUAAACCCAGAAAAGACCCUUGCUAGGGCCCCAAUAUCAAUUCUACUUUUUAGACAGUAUUCUCAGUGGAAGGUUGUUUAAAAUUGAACUUGAGGUCUUGCAUCCAGCUAGUUUGUAUAUUAACUUGGCCGUAUCUCUCUAGUCCAUUUACUGUAUGAAUGUCAUACGAAACAAUACCAGAAUCUCUAAUAAUGACAAGGCAGAUAGAAUUUACUGCUUCCUGUCUGUCCAAAAGACCUGUUAUCCUCUGAAAGAAGGAGAUAAGAUUGGUUUGACAUGACUUGGUGACUGCAAUUCAUGUAUUUUUGUUCUUCCAUGUUCUUAAUAGGUAUUUGGAAUUUUUAUUUCAGCAUUUAUUUGAAAAUUUGAAUUACUUGACUAGUCUGCAGUUGAGGAUCCCAAAUUUCUCUCUUUCCCUUCUCCCUCUUCCUUCCUACAACCAUUAUUUCCAAGCCAGUGACAGAAUAAAAUCAAACAACCAACACCCAGCUGAAAUUAACACUGUUCACAUGAAGUCUAGAAGACUGCACUUCACAAACAAUUUAAAAGGAAUAUGUUAAUAUAAUUUGUAAAAAAAUUCUGUACAUAUUUUACGCAAGGGUGCAUGAGAUUCCCCAGUUUAAAAAAUGGGAAGAAAGGACAGUGGGAACAGAAAGUGAACAAGAUGAAUAUAUAAAAAUAUUAUGGUUACACUAAUUAAGGUUGUAAAAAAGACACAGAUAUUAUAUAAUUCAUUUAAUAGCAUUUUUUUUUUCAUUUCUGAAUGAAAUAAUGGAAUUGUCAAACACUUCUAAUCUCUACAUUCUCAAAUGUAGAUCCCAGAAUAGUUUGAGAAGGGAAAGACUUGGCUGAAAUCAGAGAUGUGACAGAAAUCUGUAUCUCCAAACAGAUGUGUGGUCUUUGACAAUUUAAGAUUUUUUUCUUUAUACUUGCUGUUUCAUGUCUUUACUGCCUCUUUCCUGGAAGUCUUUGCUACUCAAUUUGUAUCCUUCCCUCCUGUAUCUUUUGAACACAAACAAAAUUUUUAACUAUCACUGACAGCUUGUCACCUUUCUCCCAAGAACUCAUACGGAGAGAUGCUGAUCUUAUGUCAAAGAUGAAAAUAAUCCUUUUUUUUGUGUGUGUGUGCAUGCGUGUGUGUGUGUGUGUGUGUGUGUGUGUGUGUGUGUGUGUGUGUGAAAUAAGCUAAACAUAUAUAAGCAACUCUGGUCAAUGAGGAUGAAGUACUGAAAAACUUUUGUUUAUACCUUUUUUUUUCUCAGUAAAAUUCUGUUCUUUAAUCCCUUAUAAAGAGGAAGCUUGUCAGAGAAGGAGGGAAAUUCUUUCCUGUUUGAUGAGAACUUGGAGGAACAGAGCCAAGAGUCAGCAGGACAAUGACCCACCCUCACUCAGCUCAAGAAUCCCUACCAAGAACCCUGACUUGUCAAGCAUGUGCAAUACACGGAACUUGUACAUGACUACCCUACUUCUUCUAGCUACCUGUCACAGUAGUGUUUGACUUUCUCUCAAAAUAAUGUUCCCUGGAGUUAUUUAUUCU
ensembl:lncRNA